CGAAAUACCGGUUCUCGUAAGAUCACAGAAGUUAAGGUACAUCGAUCCAGGACAGUACCUAGAUGGGUGACCGCUUUGGAAUACCAG